rnacentral:lncRNA from 1 species
AAGUAAAACAAUAGAGAAAGAUUGAACUAAAUGGGUCCUGCGCCUAUAUGUAGAAUUUAUCAUAAACCCAGAAAGAAAAAGCUCACUUAGAAUUGCAGACAUCAAUUUCAAAGAUCAAAAACAAUAAAAGCAAGCAUCAAGAUUAGCUUAAAAUAACACCCCAGAUCCUUAAUUAUAAUGAAGCUAAAGAAAAUUUUAUGGCCUAAACCCUGAACCCAACUAAUCAAGAUUG